UUCCUACGGGGGGCAGCAGUGAGGAAUAUUGGUCAAUGGGCUUACGCCUGAACCAGCCAAGUCGCGUGAGGGAAGACUGCCCUAUGGGUUGUAAACCUCUUUUGUCAGGGAACAAAGGCGGGGACGCGUCCCCGGAUGAGUGUACCUGAAGAAAAAGCAUCGGCUAACUCCGUGCCAGCAGCCGCGGUAAUACGGAGGAUGCGAGCGUUAUCCGGAUUUAUUGGGUUUAAAGGGUGCGCAGGCGGUCUGUUAAGUCAGCGGUCAAAGCCCGGGGCUCAACCCCGGCCCGCCGUUGAAACUGGCAG
rnacentral:rRNA from 1 species